CUCGAAAUAGCUCAGUUGGAAAAGCGUUAGACUAUAAAUCGAAAGGUCUGUGGUUCGAUCCCGGGAUUCGGCA
rnacentral:tRNA from 1 species